rnacentral:rRNA from 1 species
GUGAAGCGGCAACAGCUCAAAUUUGAAAUCUGGCCUCGGCCCGAGUUGUAAUUUGCAGAGGAUGCUUUUGGUGCGGUGCCUUCCGAGUUCCCUGGAACGGGACGCCACAGAGGGUGAGAGCCCCGUAUGGUCGGACACCAAUCCUGUGUAAAGCUCCUUCGACGAGUCGAGUAGUUUGGGAAUGCUGCUCUAAAUGGGAGGUAAAUCUCUUCUAAAGCUAAAUACCGGCCAGAGACCGAUAGCGCACAAGUAGAGUGAUCGAAAGAUGAAAAGCACCUUGAAAAGGGGGUUAAACAGUACGUGAAAUUGUUGAAAGGGAAGCACUUGUGACCAGACUUGGGCCGGGCGGCUCAUCAGGGGUUCUCCCCUGUGCAUUCCGCCCGGUACAGGCCAGCAUCGGUUCUUACCGGGGGAUAAGAACGGCAGGAACGUGGCUCCCUCUCGGGGGAGUGUUAUAGCCUGCCGUACGAUACCCUGGCGGGGACCGAGGUUCGCGCUUCCGCAAGGAUGCUGGCGUAAUGGUUACUAGUGACCCGUCUUGAAACACGGACCAAGGAGUCGUCCAUUAGAGCGAGCGUUUGGGUGUAAAACCCGCACGCGUAAUGAAAGUGAAAUUAGGUGAGAGCUUCGGCGCAUCAUCGACCGAUCCUGAUGUUCUCGGAUGGAUUUGAGUAAGAGUUUUAACGGACGGACCCGAAAGACAGUGAACUAUGCUUGUAUAGGGUGAAGCCAGAGGAAACUCUGGUGGAGGCUCGCAGCGGUUCUGACGUGCAAA